UGCUUCACCUCCUGGGCAGAUCUUGGCUGGGUACGGCUGCACACUUGGAUGUCUGCAUAAUGCAAGCUGCUGUCCUCUGACUGAGGGCCUUGAUUCCCCUCUCCAGACCUGGGCAAUUCCGACACCAGCUCAUAGUAUUUUGGAUUAUUGAAGGCAAUUUCAAAGGCUCUCACCUGAGUCUUUUCUUCUUGAAGAUAAACAUCCCAAGUUCCUUCAAGUGAACUUCUUUUCAUGUGAUUUCAAGUCUACUAACCAUCCUAGUCAUAACUCUUCCAAGUCUCAAGAGAACUACUGGAUCUCAGAACAUUCCUUGCUCUCCAGGGACACUUCGCACCUUUGCCUCUAUCGCUUUACUCGGCUGUUGUUAUUCAGUUGUGUCCAACUUUCCUGUGAAACCCUUUGGAUUACAACUCACCAGUACUGUCUACAGAGUUUUGUUGGCAAAGAUCCUGGUGUGGUUUUCCAUUUCCUUCUCCAGUGGAUAAAGGAAUAAAGAAAUGGAGGAAUUCCAUGUGAACCAGAAUGACCUCCAGGAAUUGACACAGAGCGAAAGGUGCAGAACCAGGAGAAUAUUGUACACAGACUGAUACAGUAUGGCACAAUCGAAUGUAAUGGACUUUUCUACCAGCAGCAAUGCAAUGAUUCAGGACAAUCCAGAGGAAUUUAGGAGAAAAAAAUGCUAUCCACAUCCAGAGAAAGAACUAUGGAACCAAAAAUGCACUAGAAAAAUAUGUGAUCAACCACACAAUGUGAUAAGAAUAUAAUAAGGGUUAUUAUAUUAAAGAAUUGCUCUACUGCAACUAUGAAUAACAAGGAAAUAGAUUUUGAACAAUAAUACAUAUAUAACUUAGUGGAACUGUUUGUUGGUUUAGGAGGUGGAGGAGAAAGCACGGUGGAGGAUCAUGAGUUAUGUAACCAUGGAAAAAUAUUCUAAAUAAAAUUUUAAAAUAUUAUCACACAUAAUUGAUUAAAUAUCUUUUUAAAAAAAGAAAAGAAAGAAACAACUUUCUCGACCCUACUCCUAUCCUCUCUAGCCAUCAGUUUAUAUCUCUCCUCCCCUUCUCAGUUAAAUUCCCUGAAAAAAGCAGGAAAUCCCUCUAUUUCCUCUUCAAUCUCUUCUAAACUCUUUACAGUCUAGCUUCCAACCUCCAUUCACCUGAAACUGCACUUUCCAAAUUACCAGUAAUUGCUAAAUUGAAUCUUAAUUCUCAUCCUUCGUAUCUCUUGUGGCAUUUGACACUGUUGGCUACCCUUCUCUUCCUGUAUACUCCCUCCUCUCUGCAGUUAUGCUACUGCUCUUUUUUGCUUCUCUUCUCUCUAUGACCACUCAUCCUCAGUCUACUUGGCUGAAUUUUCAUCCAUGUCACACCUACUAACUAUAAUCUAUUUUUUCUAAGGCUCUGUGCUGGAUUCUUCUCUAUUCUUUCUAUAUACUUUCAUUUGUUUCUCUCCUCAGUUCUAUUGGGUUCAGUUCUCUUCUCAAUACAGCUAUUUCCUAGCUCUGUCUCUUCAAUCUAGCCUCUGUCCUGAGCUCCAUUCCUUUAUAACCAACUGCUGUUUGCACCUUUUAAAAUGGAUGUUCUGUGGUAAUCUCAAAUAGAACUCAUUAUCUUUCCUCCAAAAGUCCAUUCUUCUCUCUGACUUGCUUAUAACUGUCAACAGCACACCAGAAGUCACAGAGCUGAGCAACCAGGGGGCCUCUUUGCCUCUUUACUUUCACUAACUACACAAUCAGUUGCCAAAUCUUGUUGAUUCUGCCUCCACUUUUCUCGGUCUGUUCCCCUAUCGAUAUUCUCACAACCAGCACCCUAGCAUGGAUCCUCAUUACCACUAGCCUCCUCAAUGAUCUGGGGAAUCUUCUCUCCACACAGCUACUACUGAUAUUCCUAAAGAUACGUCUGACUAUCCCUCCCUUACUCAAAAAACUCCAGUGGUUUCCUAUUACCUGGAGGAUUAACUACAAACUCUUCUGAAUGGCUUUAAAAGCCCUUUACAACCUGGCUCCUUCCUAGCUUUCCAGUCUUUUAACAUUCCAUGAAUUCUAUAGUUCAGCCACACCAGUCUACUUGCCGUCCCUCAAACAUGCUGCUCUCGCUCCAUCUCUUUGCCUUUGUAUUGGCUGCCCCUGUGCCUGCAAUGCUUUCUCUCUGAACCUCUGGCUCUUAGAAUCCAUUGCUUCCUUAAAACUUGGCUCAAGCACAACCUCCUUCAGGAGGCUUCCCUUGGUUCCCUCCACCCCCCCUGCCAAUACUCAUCUUCUGAGGCCACUGUGUGUUUAUCUUGUUGUAUUAAUUUAUUUUUUUAUUGUCUCCCCCAUGAGACUGUAAAUUCCUUAAAAUUAGGGAGUUUUUUCCCCUUGUAUCCCUAGUG